rnacentral:rRNA from 1 species
AACGAACGCUGGCGGCAUGCCUAACACAUGCAAGUCGAACGGAACCGCCGUGCCUUUGUGCGCUCGGGGGGGGGAGGAGGGGGAAGCAACACGUGAGUAACGUACACUUCACUGUGGGGGGAGCUAAGGCAGGUGAAGCUAAUCGCAGAUAGGAGCUACCGCUGCAGGGUGGGCGCGGGAAGGUUUCGCCGGUUGGGAGUGGACAAGCCGCUUAUGAGCUUGUUGGUUGGGUAGUGGCUGACCAAGGCCUACAAGGAUAGCCGGCCUGAGAGGGUGACCGGCCACAUUGGGACUGAGAUACGGCCCAGACUCCUACGGGAGGCAGCAGUGGGGAAUCUUGCACAGUGGGCGGAAGCCUGAUGCAGCAACGCCGCGUGCGGGAUGACGGCCUUCGGGUUGUAAACCGCUUUCGCCUGUGACGAAGCGUGAGUGACGGUAAUGGGUAAAGAAGCACCGGCUAACUACGUG